AGUCCCCGGAGCUGCAGUCCGGGCUCCGGUCCCCAGCGUCGCCUACCGAUGGGGAGUGCGGACGGCGGACAGCGCGUCUUGAGGAGCCCUGGGCGCUGAAGGCACCCGCACAAGGCUCCUUAAGGAGGUGGAUUUGUAAGCGAAAGGCCCAGGUGUGAUGUGCAAAUAUCACCGGACUGCAGGAGCUCUCUUGGAAAGCCGGUGACAGGAUACCACAGCAAACUAUCAGAGCAGAAAUCCCUGUCCUCGUGGAGUCAGACAGUAAGCAAGUUUUCAGGGAGAGAACAAAAUCACGAGCAUCGAUAGGAAGAGGUGUCACGUGCGAAAGCUUGGGAAGGUAUGAGUCGUCACAGGAGGAGAAAAUUGGUCUUCCUGCAUCAAUGGAUAACUUGGCCAAUCCGACGCGAUGCUCCUUAAGUCCCCCACCGACCGACAGAGCCCGAGGUGUGUGUGCCUAGAUGCUGCUGGCCACCCACCUGCAGCCCUGCCUCCUGUUCCAUCACUGGGCUUCUGCCUCUUAGCUGAAUUCUGAGCGUGGUCUGCAAGGUCUUGUAUAGAUAGUCCAGCUCCGGCCUUAGAGCUCAUCCUUUCCCCUCCCACUUAAACACUCCAGCUGGCCUCUCGGUUCUUUCCAGACAAACAAGCUCUUCCCUCACCUGAGGCCCUUUUCUAAUCUUUUACGGUCCCCGUUUCAAAGCUAGGUGUCCGAGCAGCCCUGCAUACCUUCCUGACCUGGGUAGAGGCCCGUGCUGUGUUCCAUGUUAUCCUAUAUACUUAACGUACUUCAUUUAAAACUUUCUCUGCUUCCCCACUAGACUGAAAACUCCGAGAGCGGAGAAAACCCAUCUGUCCGUCUGUUCCAUAUCUUAUUUCCAUCUGUUUGUAGCUGUUGAUCUCCCCUCAGUAAACCUGCCGGUGGUGGUGGUAGUGGUGGUGUCAUGUUAACAUAAUAAUAGCUACUAUUUAUUGAGGAGGUAUUUAUGUAUCUCAUACUGUUAAAUGUUUUACCCAGAUUUCCUCUUUUUUUUUUUUUUUUCUACUUAAACCACAUAAGUGAUCUGAAGAGAGAGCGAAGGUGGACAGACAGGAAGCCAGGUUCAUUUAUGGAUCAACCAAUGCUAAUUCAGCACAUAUGAUGUGCCAAGCAUUGUUUUAGGUACAGGGGAUGCUGCAUGACAGAAAGCAGAGAAAAAUCUCUGCUC